GUGGGAGAGAGGUGGAUAAAUACGGUCUAGACAAGUGGCCAGGCACAGACAAACAGGUACUGGCAAGAUAGACUAUGCUGAUGGAGUAACCAAGUUUGUGAGUAUAUGAAAAUAACGAGGGAUGACAUAUGGGAAUAUUACACAAUGAUAAAGUUGGAAUGUCACAAUGAAUAAACAAAAUCUGAUUCAGAGACUAUGCCAAGCCAGGUGAUAAGAUCUUGAAGAACCAAGAUCCAGAGAGAAGUGAAAGGAAUCAGUGUUCCAUGGAACGGAAGUGCAUCAGGAAAGGAAAGAGAAAACAGAUUCAGACUAAAGCACGUGCCUGACAAUGUGUCUGCUGCAUUGCAUGAGGCAGCCUUGCUGCAGCCAACCAUAGUGGGGUCCAAUUAAGAGGCUUAAUUGAAGAAUUCCAAGUUAGCAGACUGUCCUGGCACUCAGAGGAUAUUGUGCCUGGUAAUGAUAGUGUUGAAUUGGACAGAAAGAAUAUUCACAAAGCUUCAAGAAAGGCCUCCUCUGCUAAAAAUGCUCUCUGAUUAGCCAUUCACUGCUUCCUGAACUAUGAAGACAUCUUCUAGGAAUACUCAGGAUCUUCUGCUAUGUGGCUUUAAUUUAUUUUAAGAUUAAUUCCUCAUUACCUUCUUACACAAAGCCACCAUUAGCAUAUCAAGCACAGCUGUACAAAUUUUUAAAAGGCCAAAAGAUGUAUCUGCCAAUUCUAGGAGGAUAUAAACCUGAAGGCACAAAUCUGGGCUGGAGCACAUGGUUUCCCUUGUGAGAAGAAAAAGUCUCCUUCCUCUGAAUGGACACACCUUGCACACCAGGGCACAAGGUUUGUCUAGAAGAGCACAGCUGAACAUCAUAAAGUGCAGAACCACACACCUGGCAUCCUUGUCCCUACACAAGAGUAUACACAACACAAUCCAAAAAGAGGGGCUUUUUUGAAUGAAAC
rnacentral:lncRNA from 1 species